UUCCAGAAAUUAUUUGUUAAAUAUGAAAAAUAUUAUAGAGUAUUCUAUAGUAUACUUCCGGAUAUUCAAAGCAAAAAUGCUCCUCUGAUUGCAAGUUAAUGUAAUAUCAAAAAAUUCCAGUUAUCGUUACUUCACUUAGGGGCACUCAAUUCGAAUUAUUUAAGAGUCGAAGCGGUAACGUUCAACACGCUGGAAAACUUUGUGAAAUUGUGGACGAAUUUGAGCGUUUCUGUCUACUCUCAGCAGGCGACAUUAUUCUGUCGAUGAAAGCAUUAUUAAACUUCUGAACGUUCGGGAAAAUUCAGAAGGGAGCAUCCCAAAUUGAUUCUCGAAGUUUACUGAUGGCCCAUUUCAGCUGUUUUUCAAUAUGUACAGAUAUGAUUUCAAAAUGAAUAAAUUAAGAACAAAUGUUAUUUCAAUAAAAAAAGCUACAAUAUUCCAUCAUCGACAACCCAAACUCACCAUAGACUUUAUUUAGCAUCUAUUCCCAGAAUGCAUUAUCCCAACAAAUCCAAAAGAGAUGCUAUGAUCUUAAAGGCUGCAAAAACAUAUCCAUCACAAUAAUCUCGACCCCAUCCAGGACAUAAGCUCACUCCCCAACAGACAUUCUCCCUUCUCCCUCACAAAGACCUCAAGAUCACUCUGAAGAAACAAACCGCUCAAGAAUGGCUAAAAAGAUACGAUACGUGCUUCCAGAACAUUUACGAUAUCCAACAAAAAGUAGAAAAACCUCGAAAAAUUUAUUGCGUUAUAAGACUGGACCAAGUACUCAUUAGAAGCCUCUGAAUAGGAUACAUGAAAUUGAUUCACAGACAUCUAAUAUCUAAUGUCAAAUGAUCUAGCUGUGAGUUCUACCUACUGUUGUACAUGUACAACACAUUAUAACACACACUGUCCUCGUUACAGAAGAGCAGGUCAUAUGGUCUGAAGAAUAACCUCAAAGAUAACCUCAGCUCACAAGAAUAAGCAGAAGCAUUAUUAAAAUUUUUAAAUGAAACUCAAAUAAGAACUCCGAACACAAUCUUUUAUAAAGAACAUGUACUUCCUGAAAUAUCUUUAUCGCAUGAGUUUUGUACAGCUAUUAAUCUAUUAAAGAAGUGUGCUUUCACAGUA